CCUACGGGAGGCAGCAGUGGGGGAUAUUGCACAAUGGGGGAAACCCUGAUGCAGCGACGCCGCGUGUGGGAAGACGGUCCUCUGGAUUGUAAACCACUGUCCCCAGGGACGAAGAUGACGGUACCUUGGGAGGAAGCUCCGGCUAACUACGUGCCAGCAGACGCGGUAAUACGUAGGGAGCGAGCGUUGUCCGGAAUUACUGGGUGUAAAGGGAGCGUAGGCGGGGAUGCAAGUUGGGUGUCAAAACUACCGGCUCAACCGGUACGCGCACUCAAAACUGCAGCUCUUGAGUGAAGUAGAGGCAGGCGGAAUUCCUAGUGUAGCGGUGAAAUGCGUAGAUAUUACGAGGAACGCCAGUGGCGAAGGCGGCAUGCUGGGCUUUUACUGACGCUGAGGCUCGAAAGUGUGGGGAGCAAACAGGAUUAGAUACCCGAGUAGUC
rnacentral:rRNA from 1 species